rnacentral:ncRNA from 1 species
GGGAGUUGUAUGGCCUCCCGGAAUCGGGUUGCAGGACCGGGUUCCAAACUACAUCGAGCUGCCGAGGUAAAGAGCCUCAAGGUAGUGAGCGUCGAUGGAAAGGCGUCCGUUGGAGACGUCAAGU